GACGAACGCUGGCGGCGUGCCUAAUACAUGCAAGUCGAACGAAGCUGUUUUAACUGGUGCUUGCACCGACUUAAACAACUGAGUGGCGAACGGGUGAGUAACACGUGGGUAACCUGCCCCAAAGCGGGGGAUAACAUUUGGAAACAGAUGCUAAUACCGCAUAACCACAGAAACCACAUGGUUUCUGUGUCAAAGAUGGUUUCGGCUAUCACUUUGGGAUGGACCCGGGGCGUAUUAGCUAGUUGGUAAGGUAAUGGCUUACCAAGGCAAUGAUACGUAGCCGAACUGAGAGGUUGAUCGGCCACAUUGGGACUGAGACACGGCCCAAACUCCUACGGGAGGCAGCAGUGGGGAAUCUUCCGCAAUGGACGAAAGUCUGACGGAGCAACGCCGCGUGAGUGAAGAAGGUUUUCGGAUUGUAAAGCUCUGUCUUUUGGGACGAAUGUGCUUUUUGUAAAUAACGAGAAGCAAUGACGGUACCGAAGGAGGAAGCCACGGCUAACUACGUGCCAGCCGCCGCCGUAA
rnacentral:rRNA from 1 species